UACGUAGGGGGCAAGCGUUGUCCGGAUUUAUUGGGCGUAAAGAGCGUGUAGGCGGCCAGGUAGGUCUGCUGUGAAAACUCGAGGCUUAACCUCGAGCUGUCGGCGGAAACCAUCUGGCUAGAGUCCGGAAGAGGAGAAUGGAAUUCCCGGUGUAGCGGUGAAAUGCGUAGAGAUCCGGAGGAACACCAAAGGCGAAGGCAGUGUCCUGGGGAGUACCUGACGCUCAGGUGCGAAAGCCAGGGGAGCGAACGGG
rnacentral:rRNA from 1 species